rnacentral:RNase_P_RNA from 1 species
CGAGUAAGUCGGAUAGUCGCGGAUACCUUUUUAGGUAGACGAGGAAAGUCCGAGCUCCGUAGAGCAGGGUGCUGGGUAAUACCCAGUGGAGGCGACUCCAAGGAAAGUGCAACAGAGAUAUACCGCCACAAUUUAUUUGUGGUAAGGGUGGAAAGGUGAGGUAAGAGCUCACCAGCAACUAGGCGACUAGUUGGCUAUGUAAACCCCACCUGGAGCAAGACCAAGUAGGGACGUGAAAAGGGGGUUGCUCGCUCCCGUCCCGUUGGUAGGUCGCUUGAGCCUACUGGCAACAGUAGGCCUAGAUAGAUGACUAUCUAAGACAGAACUCGGCUUACAGACUUGCUCGUUUA